UCCUACGGGAGGCAGCAGUGAGGAAUAUUGGCCAAUGGAGGCAACUCUGAUCCAGCCAUGCCGCGUGCAGGAAGACUGCCCUAUGGGUUGUAAACUGCUUUUAUAGAGGAAGAAACCUCCCUUCGUGAAGGGAAUUGACGGUACUCUACGAAUAAGGAUCGGCUAACUCCGUGCCAGCAGCCGCGGUAAUACGGAGGAUCCAAGCGUUAUCCGGAAUCAUUGGGUUUAAAGGGUCCGUAGGCGGACUAAUAAGUCAGUGGUGAAAGUCUGCAGCUCAACUGUAGAAUUGCCAUUGAUACUGUUAGUCUUGAGUCAUUAUGAAGUGGUUAGAAUGAGUGGUGUAGCGGUGAAAUGCAUAGAUAUCACUCAGAAUACCGAUUGCGAAGGCAGAUCACUAAUAAUGUACUGACGCUGAUGGACGAAAGCGUAGGUAGCGAACAGGAUUAGAUACCCUGGUAGUCUACGCCGUAAACGAUGGUUACUAGCUGUUUGGUCGAUUGAGACUGAGUGGCUAAGCGAAAGUGAUAAGUAACCCACCUGGGGAGUACGUUCGCAAGAAUGAAACUCAAAGGAAUUGACGGGGGCCCGCACAAGCGGUGGAGCAUGUGGUUUAAUUCGAUGAUACGCGAGGAACCUUACCAGGGCUUAAAUGUAGUCUGACAGAUUUGGAAACAGAUUUUUCUUCGGACAGAUUACAAGGUGCUGCAUGGUUGUCGUCAGCUCGUGCCGUGAGGUGUCAGGUUAAGUCCUAUAACGAGCGCAACCCCUGUGGUUAGUUGCCAGCGAGUCAAGUCGGGAACUCUAGCCAGACUGCCGGUGCAAACCGUGAGGAAGGUGGGGAUGACGUCAAAUCAUCACGGCCCUUACGUCCUGGGCCACACACGUGCUACAAUGGUAGGGACAGAGAGCAGCCACUUCGCGAGAAGGAGCGAAUCUUCAAACCCUAUCACAGUUCGGAUCGCAGUCUGCAACUCGACUGCGUGAAGCUGGAAUCGCUAGUAAUCGGAUAUCAGCCAUGAUCCGGUGAAUACGUUCCCGGGCCU
rnacentral:rRNA from 1 species